CGUGGAAUAUAGCUGCAGGUAAAUAGUAACUAUACUAAUAAAGCAACAAGGAAACAAACAACGUUGAACUGCAACUGUAAAUUAGCAAAGAGCACACAUUAUUUCCAUUAACCUAGAACUGUGCGCGCAUUACAAAUUUAAUUUCAAAGAAAAAAGCAGCAUACAUUUAUUAUAAAUUAUAAUAAUCUGCUUCACCCUUGAGAUUGGAGUAGCGAUAUUAAAGGCUCUCACGAGAGAGAGAGAGAGCAGGAAACUGGAACAUGCCAAAGGAUAGAAGUUGCCCUAUAAGACAAGAAGGCCCACCACAUUCAAUCAAGCCCGGCCCGGCCCGGCCCGGCCGUCCAUGAUCCAUGCAGCUUCUCCCUCUCCGCCGCGGCAGGCGAUUCGACCUCGGCGGCGGCCAUGGUGGUGGUGGGCGAAGAUUAAGAGAGUUUGAUGAAGAAAGUUGGUGUGCGUGUUAUAAGGAAGAGGGAUUGGGAAUGAGGUCGUGGGAGCAAUAAAAGAACGAGGUGACUAACUACCUUUUUCAAAAAGGAAGUGAUUUGAGGUAUCUUCCAUCGGAUAUGCCAUUAUGUUGGCAUCUCAAUAUUCACACACACACACACACUUGUAAUCUAAUUCUCUUAUUAAUUUCCCACUUAUUUUAUUAAUGUUGCUCACUUUGAUCAAUUUCCUGCUGCCGUACAUGCACUGCCUUUCCUUUCCUUUUUUACUUUUCUUUUUUUCUUUUUUUCUUUGUUUAACAGCGGAUUAAAGGCUGAAGAAGUAUGUCACCACCACUUUUCAUUUAAUAUUUAUAUUUUAUAUAUAUGGGGCGUUAUAAGGGGUUGUGUUUAUUGUACUGCAUAGCUUAGUGAGUCUUGUACUAUAUACAUAUAUGUAUAUAAUAUAUAUCGCGUUUUCUUUUUCUUUCCGUUUUGAUCUGACUGAGAUUUCAAGUUCAUGGCUAGUGACAUAAGCUGAGAAUCGGAUUAUUCUUUUAUGCUUCAUUGAUUACUACUUACUUCUUAAAGCAAACAGAUUUUGGCCUUUAAUUAGUUGUAGAUUAGUCAGAACCAAUGGCAUAUAAAGUUGACUUUCCUUGUUUUAUUUAAUUAAAAGGCUAGGUGAUCUAUCAUCAAGCGCAUAAGACU
rnacentral:lncRNA from 1 species